UUUGAUGGAUUUGCUUAGCACC
rnacentral:miRNA from 1 species